rfam:Gongylonema pulchrum genome assembly, scaffold: GPTH_scaffold0018487
UCCUCUUAGCGGUGGAUCACUUGGCUCGUGGAUCGAUGAAGAACGCAGUUAGCUGCGAUAAAUUGUUCAAAUUACAGGCAUUUUGAGGAGUAAAAUUUCGAAUGCACAUUGCGCCAUCGGGUUGGCAUCUUGGCGAGAAUUUUG